rnacentral:rRNA from 1 species
GCAAGUCGAGCGAACAGAUAAGGAGCUUGCUCCUUUGACGUUAGCGGCGGACGGGUGAGUAACACGUGGAUAACCUACCUAUAAGACUGGGAUAACUUCGGGAAACCGGAGCUAAUACCGGAUAAGAUUUUGAACCGCAUGGUUCAAUAGUGAAAGACGGCCUUGCUGUCACUUAUAGAUGGAUCCGCGCCGUAUUAGCUAGUUGGUAAGGUAACGGCUUACCAAGGCAACGAUACGUAGCCGACCUGAGAGGGUGAUCGGCCACACUGGAACUGAGACACGGUCCAGACUCCUACGGGAGGCAGCAGUAGGGAAUCUUCCGCAAUGGGCGAAAGCCUGACGGAGCAACGCCGCGUGAGUGAUGAAGGUCUUCGGAUCGUAAAACUCUGUUAUCAGGGAAGAACAAACGUGUAAGUAACUGUGCACGUCUUGACGGUACCUGAUCAGAAAGCCACGGCUAACUACGUGCCAGCAGCCGCGGUAAUACGUAGGUGGCAAGCGUUAUCCGGAAUUAUUGGGCGUAAAGCGCGCGUAGGCGGUUUUUUAAGUCUGAUGUGAAAGCCCACGGCUCAACCGUGGAGGGUCAUUGGAAACUGGAAAACUUGAGUGCAGAAGAGGAAAGUGGAAUUCCAUGUGUAGCGGUGAAAUGCGCAGAGAUAUGGAGGAACACCAGUGGCGAAGGCGACUUUCUGGUCUGUAACUGACGCUGAUGUGCGAAAGCGUGGGGAUCAAACAGGAUUAGAUACCCUGGUAGUCCACGCCGUAAACGAUGAGUGCUAAGUGUUAGGGGGUUUCCGCCCCUUAGUGCUGCAGCUAACGCAUUAAGCACUCCGCCUGGGGAGUACGACCGCAAGGUUGAAACUCAAAGGAAUUGACGGGGACCCGCACAAGCGGUGAAGCAUGUGGUUUAAUUCAAAGCAACGCGA